GUCGCUUUGGUGGAAUAGUUAAUGCAGUGGCCUGCUAAGCUAUUUCUCUUGGGAGCACAGGUUCAAAUCCUGCAGAUAACA